rnacentral:rRNA from 1 species
AAAUUGAAGAGUUUGAUCAUGGCUCAGAUUGAACGCUGGCGGCAGGCCUAACACAUGCAAGUCGAGCGGUAGCACAGAGAGCUUGCUCUCGGGUGACGAGCGGCGGACGGGUGAGUAAUGUCUGGGAAACUGCCUGAUGGAGGGGGAUAACUACUGGAAACGGUAGCUAAUACCGCAUAAUGUCGCAAGACCAAAGUGGGGGACCUUCGGGCCUCAUGCCAUCAGAUGUGCCCAGAUGGGAUUAGCUAGUAGGUGGGGUAACGGCUCACCUAGGCGACGAUCCCUAGCUGGUCUGAGAGGAUGACCAGCCACACUGGAACUGAGACACGGUCCAGACUCCUACGGGAGGCAGCAGUGGGGAAUAUUGCACAAUGGGCGCAAGCCUGAUGCAGCCAUGCCGCGUGUGUGAAGAAGGCCUUCGGGUUGUAAAGCACUUUCAGCGGGGAGGAAGGCGAUAAGGUUAAUAACCUUGUCGAUUGACGUUACCCGCAGAAGAAGCACCGGCUAACUCCGUGCCAGCAGCCGCGGUAAUACGGAGGGUGCAAGCGUUAAUCGGAAUUACUGGGCGUAAAGCGCACGCAGGCGGUCUGUCAAGUCGGAUGUGAAAUCCCCGGGCUCAACCUGGGAACUGCAUUCGAAACUGGCAGGCUAGAGUCUUGUAGAGGGGGUAGAAUUCCAGGUGUAGCGGUGAAAUGCGUAGAGAUCUGGAGGAAUACCGGUGGCGAAGGCGGCCCCCUGGACAAAGACUGACGCUCAGGUGCGAAAGCGUGGGGAGCAAACAGGAUUAGAUACCCUGGUAGUCCACGCCGUAAACGAUGUCGAUUUGGAGGUUGUGCCCUUGAGGCGUGGCUUCCGGAGCUAACGCGUUAAAUCGACCGCCUGGGGAGUACGGCCGCAAGGUUAAAACUCAAAUGAAUUGACGGGGGCCCGCACAAGCGGUGGAGCAUGUGGUUUAAUUCGAUGCAACGCGAAGAACCUUACCUGGUCUUGACAUCCACAGAACUUAGCAGAGAUGCUUUGGUGCCUUCGGGAACUGUGAGACAGGUGCUGCAUGGCUGUCGUCAGCUCGUGUUGUGAAAUGUUGGGUUAAGUCCCGCAACGAGCGCAACCCUUAUCCUUUGUUGCCAGCGGUCCGGCCGGGAACUCAAAGGAGACUGCCAGUGAUAAACUGGAGGAAGGUGGGGAUGACGUCAAGUCAUCAUGGCCCUUACGACCAGGGCUACACACGUGCUACAAUGGCAUAUACAAAGAGAAGCGACCUCGCGAGAGCAAGCGGACCUCAUAAAGUAUGUCGUAGUCCGGAUUGGAGUCUGCAACUCGACUCCAUGAAGUCGGAAUCGCUAGUAAUCGUAGAUCAGAAUGCUACGGUGAAUACGUUCCCGGGCCUUGUACACACCGCCCGUCACACCAUGGGAGUGGGUUGCAAAAGAAGUAGGUAGCUUAACCUUCGGGAGGGCGCUUACCACUUUGUGAUUCAUGACUGGGGUGAAGUCGUAACAAGGUAACCGUAGGGGAACCUGCGGUUGGAUCACCUCCUUA